UGUUUAAUGCGGCCGCCCCGCCUCGCGGAGCGUUAGUUCCAAGCCUAAAAGAACGCAGAGGUGACA
rnacentral:ribozyme from 2 species